rnacentral:rRNA from 1 species
UACGAGGGGAGCAAGCGUUGUUCGGAUUUACUGGGCGUAAAGGGCGCGUAGGCGGCUCUACAAGUCACUUGUGAAAUCUCCGGGCUUAACUCGGAACGGUCAAGUGAUACUGUCGAGCUAGAGUACAGAAGGGGCAACUGGAAUUCUCGGUGUAGCGGUGAAAUGCGUAGAGAUCGUAAGGAAGACCAGUGGCGAAGGCGGGUCUCUGGACAGUACCUGACACUGAGGCACGAAGGCCAGGGGAGCAAACGGG